UGUGAACCUAGCACGGGCUUACGCCAAG
rnacentral:piRNA from 1 species